rnacentral:lncRNA from 1 species
AAAUAGAUAGUUACAAAAUAGAAUAUCUAAUUUGCAAUAGGGUUUGAGACAAAAAAAAGUAACAAAUUAAAUAUAAAAAAAUGUGUGGUUUAUCAUUAAUAAAAAAUUAGAUUUAUUUUUUACACCAAUACGCGAAUCUUUAUCUAGUUAAAAAAAAAGACUUACCAAUUUCAACCAAUCAACAUAACAAACAUGAGUGAGGAUUUUAACAAUAGUAAUUCGAAAAUAUCAAUUUAAUUAAUAUUAGUAAUUUAUAAUGUGAAGAUGUAGUUGUUGUCUGAUAAAGUUGUUGAAUGAGUCAAUAAGUAAUACAAGAUUUUGUCUAAUGGAGUUGCUGAAUGAUUCAAGAAGUAAUUUUGAAUGCGACUGUUUUUGUGUGAGUGUCCGUUUCUAGAAGGUUUGAGAAGAUAUGGUUGGAGGAUGAAACACAAAGGAAAAAGGACGUAAAGGGAUUUAGAAGACUUGAUGAAAGUGGAGUUUAAUGAAGAAAAGUGAGAUAAACUUUUACUGGACUUACUUGGGAGAUAAGAGUGAGAACCUGUUACAAAAGAGAAAUAUUAAUUGAACUAUAGACUACGGAAACAAUGAAAGAAUUUUGAGAAUCCAUAUAUUUUGGAAAGUUCGGCAAAGUUUUUUGAUCAAAUUUAA